rnacentral:rRNA from 1 species
UACGUAGGCAGCAAGCGUUGUUCGGAGUUACUGGGCGUAAAGGGUGCGUAGGUGGCUCUAUAAGUAUGGUGUGAAAUCUCCCGGCUUAACUGGGAGGGUGCGCCGUAGACUGUGGGGCUAGAGUGUGGGAGAGGAAAGUGGAAUUCCUGGUGUAGCGGUGAAAUGCGUAGAUAUCAGGAGGAACACCGGUGGUGUAAACGGCUUUCUGGACCAUAACUGACACUGAGGCACGAAAGCGUGGGGAGUCAAACAGG